GUCUCGUGAUGAUCACCAUGCGUGUCAACUGAUUCCAGAAUCCCCUGCAGCUCCAGGCCUCCUGCCAGUGUUUUGCUGGCAGGUGAACAUGGGCUGCAGGACUCUGGGGCCAUGAUCAGACUUGACUAAGGCUGAAGAC